AGUUGUAACCAAGUGGCAGCAGUAGAUAGAGCCAUCUAUCUAUCUCUCUCUACAGAUCGCGGCUAGGAGAUCAGCGAGCGCGCCCAGAUUUCUCCCUUUCCGGAUCAGUCUCAUCCGAGAAGAUAAUAAGCCGAGCGGGAGGGGGAGAGGCCAUGAUGCUGGAGGGCAAAUCCUGCCUCGUCUCGCGCUCCCUGCCCAGCUACUGCGACCCGGACUCCGACUGGGCGUUCCUCCUCAGCGGCAGCAAGCGCCCCGCGCCGGAAGACUUCGGCGCGGAAGACAUGGAGGAGGUAGACGCCGGCGGCGGCAGCGGGAAGCGCAGCAAGUCGCCUUCCCCGCAGCCGCACACGCCGGACAUCACCGAGAGCCACGGCUCCAGCCGCCAUGCCUCCUCAGGCAGCAGCGGCGGUGGGGAGCAGCAAGGCUCUGGGGCCAAUCUCAUUGGCGAGAUUGGCCGCGACCUCUCCAUCAACUGCCUCCUCCGGCUCUCCAGGUCGGACUAUGGCUCCGUCGCCUCCCUCAACAGGGACUUCAACUCCCUGGUGCGCAACGGGGAGAUCUACCGCCUGCGGCGGCAGAAUGGUAUCGCCGAGCAUUGGGUCUACUUCUCCUGCAAUGUCCUGGAGUGGGAUGCCUAUGACCCCUACAGGGAGCGCUGGAUCCAGGUGCCCAAGAUGCCACCGGAUGAAUGCUUCAUGUGCUCUGACAAGGAGUCCCUGGCUGUGGGCACCGAGCUGCUUGUGUUUGGGAUGGCACACAUUGUGUUCAGAUAUAGCAUCCUGACCAAUUCAUGGACAAGGGCUGAUCCCAUGAACUCUCCCCGGUGCUUGUUUGGAUCAACAAGCGUCGGUGAAAAGGCGUAUGUCGCUGGAGGCACCGAUGCUUCUGGAAAGAUACUGAGCUCUGCAGAGAUGUAUGACUCUGUGACACACACUUGGACACCCCUUCCCAGCAUGAAUAGGGCUAGGAAGAUGUGUUCUGGUGUGUUCUUGGAUGGCAAGUUCUAUGUGAUCGGUGGUGUUACCAACAACAACCAGGUACUGACAUGUGGUGAGGAAUAUGACUUGAAUCGGGGUUCGUGGAGGGUCAUUGAGAACAUGUCUGAGGGCCUCAAUGGAGUGACGGGUGCUCCUCCACUCAUUGCAGUUGUCAACAAUCAGCUCUAUGCAGCUGAUUACAGUGAGAAGGAUGUGAAGAAGUAUGACAAGCUGAAUAAUAAGUGGAUCGCUCUUGGGAAAUUGCCUGAACGGUCUGUGUCCAUGAAUGGAUGGGGCCUUGCUUUCCGAGCCUGUGGUGACCGGCUGAUUGUCAUUGGAGGCCCAAGGACUUCUAUUGGUGGCAUCAUUGAGCUUAAUUCAUGGGUUCCCGAUGAGCAACCGCCUGUGUGGAAUUUGGUUGCCACACGGCAAUCCGGGAACUUCGUGUAUAACUGCGCCGUGAUGGGUUGCUGAGUCCACUGAAUAAAAGAUUGGAUGCAGUGGAUAUUUAUGAAGGAUGAUAGUAUGCACAAAGGCAGCCUGUUCAAUUGCUCCAGCCCUGAUUCUUCGUAGGGAUUUAUGCCUUCUGCCCAGUUAACUGGACAUCUGCUGAGCGGCAGCACUCAUGGCAUCCACAUUCUUCUGUUUUGGGCACUUAGAUUUGCAUACAUGCUUCUUACUGUGUGGUAGCAUCCAUCCUACAUUGCCCCUGGAUUUCUGGAAUGAGAGCCGAAUUGGUGGCGCGCUGAGUGCAGAUGGCGGAGCUUGCUAUAUGAAAGGAGCAUGUGUAAUCUGUCGAUGUCGACCCUUGCAGACAUAUAUAUGUGGUAAAAAGAAACCUUGUAGUUCCUGCCAUUUGGAGCAAGAAGCGGGUUGUGAGCCG
rnacentral:rRNA from 1 species